AAAAUAUUUCAAUUUUUUUUGAUUUAUAAAAGAUGUUAAAAAUUUGGUUUUUGAACUGGAUUAGUACCCAGGUAAUCAAAAUUUAUUAAUUCGGGAGUAAAGUUGUAUUUAAACCGUAAAAAUAUUGGCUGACUUUAAAUUUUUCUUUGGAAUAUGUGAUUGGAGAGCCCUCCUUUUUGGUAGAUUUUUUUGGUACAUGUAUGAUUGUUUAGUUUUUAUUUUAUUUUGUAAUGCUUUUUUUUUAGUAAAAAACAGAUAUAUACUUGGCUUAUGAAUCUAUUUUUCAUGUAUUACUAUUAUUAAUUUUUUUUGGAUAAUAUUUUAAUUUUUAUUUGAAAU
rnacentral:rRNA from 1 species